rnacentral:rRNA from 1 species
GUGGGGAAUAUUGGGCAAUGGGCGAAAGCCUGACCCAGCAACGCCGCGUGAAGGAAGAAGGUUUUCGGAUCGUAAACUUCUAUCCUUGGUGAAGAUAAUGACGGUAGCCAAGAAGGAAGCCCCGGCUAACUACGUGCCAGCAGCCGCGGUAAUACGUAGGGGGCAAGCGUUGUCCGGAAUGAUUGGGCGUAAAGGGCGCGUAGGCGGCCCGGUAAGUCUGAAGUGAAAGUCCUGCUUUUAAGGUGGGAAUUGCUUUGGAUACUGUCGGGCGUGAGUGCAGGAGAGGUAAGCGGAAUUCCCGGUGUAGCGGUGAAAUGCGUAGAGAUCGGGAGGAACACCAGUGGCGAAGGCGGCUUACUGGACUGUAACUGACGCUGAGGCGCGAAAGUGUGGGGAGCAAACAGGAUUAGAAACCCUUGUAGUCC